UACGAAGGGGGCUAGCGUUGUUCGGAAUCACUGGGCGUAAAGGGCGCGUAGGCGGCUUCUUAAGUCAGGGGUGAAAGCCUGGGGCUCAACCCCAGAAUUGCACUUGAUACUGAGGAGCUUGAGUCCGGGAGAGGUGAGUGGAACUCCGAGUGUAGAGGUGAAAUUCGUAGAUAUUCGGAAGAACACCGGUGGCGAAGGCGGCUCACUGGCCCGGUACUGACGCUGAGGUGCGAAAGCGUGGGGAGCAAACAGG
rnacentral:rRNA from 1 species